rnacentral:tRNA from 1 species
UUGUGGCUCAGUGGUAGAGCACUCAACUAGUAUUUGUGAGGCACUGGGUUCGGUCCUCAGCAA